CAGGGAAAUUUACUGUAGAGUGGACAUUAUUUAUAUGUUAACCCAUUCAGCACGUACCACUGUGCUCUCUUGUUGACAAGUAAAAUUGUUGGCGUUAGACAAAGUAACACGAACAUAUACAGUAGGGUGCAUUGGUGCAAUGCAACUGAACCCAUUGAGGGGCAGCACUCUCAACUUGACGAGUAAAAUCGUCUGGCAUUGGACG